rnacentral:lncRNA from 1 species
AACUUUCGCCCCUCUCAUCUCUCUCUCUUUUUUCUCUCUCAACCACCAUUGAUGAUCAUCUCCAAGCUCCAAAAAUCAUUUCCAUAGUUAGAUCUUUCCUAAAUCAAGCUCUACAUCUCAAUCCCUUUGAAUCAAGCGCAAGAUUGAUGGAGUUUCAAGCUUGAAGUUAGAGAGAAGAAUUUUUAUUUCUUUCAAAAUCAUUGAGUAAGUGUUGAAAUCACUUAGAUCUAAGCUUGUUGAUGUUUGAUAUGAGUAUAUUUGAAUGAAUCUAGCAAGAUAACAUCACCCUUGUUUGUUCUAUAAUUUUCGAAAAUUUAGGGGUUCUCCCCUUCAAAAAAAUUUCUUAUUCUUUUCUUAAUUUGGCAUGAGAUCUAUGCUUAUUGAGGUGUUUUGAGAUGAUUUCUAUAUGUAUUGAGAGGCUUUUCCAUGAGAUAUGAUUUUUCAUUUAGGUUAGUUUGUCUAAAAUAAGAAAUUCUUGAAUCUAUGGAUUAAAUGAUGAAUUGAUGAUGAAUAUGAGCUUAUGAGAUGACUAAUAUGAUAUUUGAUGGAGUAGAUUGAUGAUUGAAGUUGAUGGUCAAUUUUCGGUGAGAGUUAGUUUGAUGUGAUUUGGGUAAAACUUAUUCUAUGGUUUAAUUGAUUAAUUGAUUGGUUAAUAAUGCAAUUAGGUGAUUCAAUUUGAUUAAUCUAAGGUUGGAUUAAUGAUUUAUACAUGUUUACAAAUUUUCAAAAAGUUUAGUUUGUUAAAAAUUGGGACUUUGUGAUCUAUGUGUUAAUUGAUUAAAUUGGCUAAGUUUAAUUGUUAUUAAGCAUGAUAGAAAUGAUAAUUAGGGAUCAAUUUGGUUAUUGUCAAGAAACCCUAAAAUUGGUUAAGUUUAGUUUACUAAUAAUUGGGAACUUUUGAUUAACAAGAUAAAUACUUGAAUUGAUGAUGUUUAUAUGUUAGUUAGACUACUAGCAAGGAGAAAGCAUGAUUAAUUUAGUUAAUGAUGUUGAUUUGUGAAAAAUUCUCGACUUUAGUUUGCGUGCAUACAUGAGAUCUUGUAUAUAAGAUGAGUUAUGAGCCAAGCAUGUCUAUAUGUGGCUAAUUGAUGAUAAGUUGAGCUUAUAUAUGCGAUAUGAGACGAAACGGACCAACCCCUGAAAACCUAUAUGUUGGCGAAUGUGACGAGUAUAAGGGGAAGUCGAUGUUUGAUUUUUUUUUCAUAUGUUAUAUGAUCAUGUAUUUAUGUUAUUGUGUAUUAUGUGAGCUUAAUUUGAAUUUUUGAGAAUUUUGCAUCGAAGAAGUCCGGAGUUUAGGUAUAAUUGCUUUUAUGUUCAAGUUUGGAGUCAUUUUAUGACCUUUUCUACCUACUGUUUCGUUGGGUUCUUGAUAUCCAAAGACCUUAAAAAGUUUAUGGUAAGAUUAUAUGAGAGUGUUGAGCAUACUGAUAAGAUUUCAAGUCAAGUGGACUUCGUUUACUAUUUUUAUAAAAUUAGAAAACUAAAACUGCUACUUUCUGCCGAAAUGUUCGGUGAGUAGCCAAUAAAGUCACCAUUUCCAGUAGGGUAGUGAUAUUUGAACACCAGGUGUCAUGGACACUGGUAAAAAACCGGUUUUUUUGGGGUUUGGAUAGUGGGCCGAUUUUUUAAGGUUUAUUGUUUUACUGUUUUAGCCCUUGAUUUUUUUCCUAUAUAUUUUAUCCGAAAAUUGUUUUCUGUUUCCUUAUUUUUUCGGCUUUGUUGUUUCCUUUUUUUCGUGUGUAUUUUUUUUUCUGUUUCUUUUUUUUCGGUUUUAUUGUUUCCUUUUUUUCCGUAUAUUUUUGUUUCCUUUUUUUCGUAUACUUUUGUUUUCUGUUUCCUCUUUUUUUCGGUAUUUUUGCUUCCUUUUUUUUGUAUAUUUUUGUUUCUUUAUUUUUUUCGUAUAUUUCGCUCAAGAUAUUGAUGAAGCUUCAAAUUGGUUGCUAAUUUUAUGGGAUUAUAUUUAUCCAAGAUCAAAUCUUAUCAAAACUUAGAUGAGAUUUCGGCUCCUCCCAAAAUCUUUAAAAAACAAGUAAAUCUCGGCCCCUCUCAUAUCCAAUUCCUUCACCAAAAUAAUGCACUUCAAAUGUUUGUUAAAAGUUGUGAACGAAUUUUUUUUAAAAAAAUUAUAAGAUAUUUUUUAAGCUUCAAAUUGGUUGCUAAUUUAAUGGGAUUACAUUUAUCCAAGAUCAAAUCUUAUCAAAACUUAGUUGAGAUUUCGGCCCCUCCAAAAAUCUUUAAACAAACAAAUCUCGGCCCAUCCUAUUGAGGGAUCGAUUUUUUUCUUUAAAAAUGUAGGAGCAAAUUUUUGGAUUACAGCUCCACAUUCCUUGUUUUCGUUUUCACUCUCUUUCUAUCGAUAUCUCUCGGUCUCCUCUCAUUCUGUCGAUCUCUCUCGGUCUCCUCUCAUUCUGUCGAUCUCUCUCUGUCUCUCUGUUUGUCAUCAUGUCGACCCCAUCAGAAUUGUUGGCUCCUCAGAAAAUUGUCAUCAAAACCGGCGAGUUCUCAUACGAAGAGUAUGAUGGUCUUAUCGUUUGGCAAUUUCCCGAUGAGGCGGCGAUGUUGGCGAUUCUUUUGGAUCAACGGUCUAAGCAUGACUUGUCCGAUAAGCAUGCAUGCAUGCGAGCCAUUCUGUCUACUGAAGCCAUUCUGUCUACUCAAGCUACUUUCCGAACGUACAAUGCUCUCGACAUUGUACGUAAGCUUUACAAAUUCUUGAAGACAUAUAACGAGCAUGUCGCUAUCAUGGCACGUAGUUAGUAUUACGCAUAUGGGGUUAUUGGUUUGGAGUGGUAUCACGAUGAAAGGCUGAACAUGUUUGUCUCCACGAAACGGCAUCACUUUUGGUUUAUAUUCAUGGAGUUAUUCGGGAGACAUGGAAUGGGCAAUACUGACUUCGAGUUUCUUGCUCGUGUUGCGUCGGGUGUUGAUGAUGCAACAACGGGUUUCAAGAGAGAUGUUACCACUAUUGUGAUAAAGAAAGAAGAGCAAGAUUAGUUUUUUUUUUUGGACCUUUUGUUCGGUUAUUUUUUAGUGUUUUUUUUGGCCAAAUUUAUUUUAUGUUUUAAUUCUAGUUAGUCUUUACUUUUCGAUGUAUUUUUUUAUUUGGAACUUUAUUAAGUUAUUUUAUGAUAGUUUCGUUAAUUUAGUUUCAUGAUAUGUUAAUUGAAAGAGGUUGCCAUUUAUUUGAUAAAGAAAGAAGAGCCCUGGUUUUGCGAUGAAGAAUUGAAGAUAUGUGGGAAUUAUAGAAAAAUGCAGAAUCUUGAUAUGUUUAGAACAUCGCCUCACAUUGACAUCACUGAUCACCAUUUGAAUUUGCUGAUGGAAUUUGAAUCUAAAUUUUGUUCUCUAUUCUGUUUGAAUUUUGUCUGGUUAAUCAUAGAUUAAAAUGAAAUUUGUAUAGUGUUACAUGCUGAUGAGGAUUUGCCUUUAAGUCGCAAGCUUGAUUGGUUGCAUACUUGGAACUCAUAUUAAGGAUAGAUAAUUUGUGCUUGAGGAUGUUAAUGUAUUGCAGUCAUGGUGUGACAGUGUUCCUAAGUAAUUUGCUUUCUUUGUCAGAUGUUAAUGUUUGUCAAUCACCCUUCACCAGAUAUAGAUUGAACCUAGAAUGAGCGUGCCUCGCGAACUGCUUGAACUUUGUCUCUUAACUGUAAUGUAUCUAUUUUUGUUUUAUAGAUGCGAUAAUGAAAAUCGGAAAAGUG